GGUUAAGCGACUAAGCGUACACGGUGGAUGCCCUGGCAGUCAGAGGCGAUGAAGGACGUGCUAAUCUGCGAUAAGCGUCGGUAAGGUGAUAUGAACCGUUAUAACCGGCGAUUUCCGAAUGGGGAAACCCAGUGUGAUUCGUCACACUAUCAUUAACUGAAUCCAUAGGUUAAUGAGGCGAACCGGGGGAACUGAAACAUCUAAGUACCCCGAGGAAAAGAAAUCAACCGAGAUUCCCCCAGUAGCGGCGAGCGAACGGGGAGCAGCCCAGAGCCUGAAUCAGUGUGUGUGUUAGUGGAAGCGUCUGGAAAGGCGUGCGAUACAGGGUGACAGCCCCGUACACAAAAAUGCACAUACUGUGAGCUCGAUGAGUAGGGCGGGACACGUGGUAUCCUGUCUGAAUAUGGGGGGACCAUCCUCCAAGGCUAAAUACUCCUGACUGACCGAUAGUGAACCAGUACCGUGAGGGAAAGGCGAAAAGAACCCCGGCGAGGGGAGUGAAAAAGAACCUGAAACCGUGUACGUACAAGCAGUGGGAGCACGCUUAGGCGUGUGACUGCGUACCUUUUGUAUAAUGGGUCAGCGACUUAUAUUCUGUAGCAAGGUUAACCGAAUAGGGGAGCCGAAGGGAAACCGAGUCUUAACUGGGCGUUAAGUUGCAGGGUAUAGACCCGAAACCCGGUGAUCUAGCCAUGGGCAGGUUGAAGGUUGGGUAACACUAACUGGAGGACCGAACCGACUAAUGUUGAAAAAUUAGCGGAUGACUUGUGGCUGGGGGUGAAAGGCCAAUCAAACCGGGAGAUAGCUGGUUCUCCCCGAAAGCUAUUUAGGUAGCGCCUCGUGAAUUCAUCUCCGGGGGUAGAGCACUGUUUCGGCAAGGGGGUCAUCCCGACUUACCAACCCGAUGCAAACUGCGAAUACCGGAGAAUGUUAUCACGGGAGACACACGGCGGGUGCUAACGUCCGUCGUGAAGAGGGAAACAACCCAGACCGCCAGCUAAGGUCCCAAAGUCAUGGUUAAGUGGGAAACGAUGUGGGAAGGCCCAGACAGCCAGGAUGUUGGCUUAGAAGCAGCCAUCAUUUAAAGAAAGCGUAAUAGCUCACUGGUCGAGUCGGCCUGCGCGGAAGAUGUAACGGGGCUAAACCAUGCACCGAAGCUGCGGCAGCGACGCUUAUGCGUUGUUGGGUAGGGGAGCGUUCUGUAAGCCUGUGAAGGUGUGCUGUGAGGUAUGCUGGAGGUAUCAGAAGUGCGAAUGCUGACAUAAGUAACGAUAAAGCGGGUGAAAAGCCCGCUCGCCGGAAGACCAAGGGUUCCUGUCCAACGUUAAUCGGGGCAGGGUGAGUCGACCCCUAAGGCGAGGCCGAAAGGCGUAGUCGAUGGGAAACAGGUUAAUAUUCCUGUACUUGGUGUUACUGCGAAGGGGGACGGAGAAGGCUAUGUUGGCCGGGCGACGGUUGUCCCGGUUUAAGCGUGUAGGCUGGUUUUCCAGGCAAAUCCGGAAAAUCAAGGCCGAGGCGUGAUGACGAGGCACUACGGUGCUGAAGCAACAAAUGCCCUGCUUCCAGGAAAGCCUCUAAGCAUCAGGUAACAUCAAAUCGUACCCCAAACCGACACAGGUGGUCAGGUAGAGAAUACCAAGGCGCUUGAGAGAACUCGGGUGAAGGAACUAGGCAAAAUGGUGCCGUAACUUCGGGAGAAGGCACGCUGAUACGUAGGUGAAGCGACUUGCUCGUGGAGCUGAAAUCAGUCGAAGAUACCAGCUGGCUGCAACUGUUUAUUAAAAACACAGCACUGUGCAAACACGAAAGUGGACGUAUACGGUGUGACGCCUGCCCGGUGCCGGAAGGUUAAUUGAUGGGGUUAGCGCAAGCGAAGCUCUUGAUCGAAGCCCCGGUAAACGGCGGCCGUAACUAUAACGGUCCUAAGGUAGCGAAAUUCCUUGUCGGGUAAGUUCCGACCUGCACGAAUGGCGUAAUGAUGGCCAGGCUGUCUCCACCCGAGACUCAGUGAAAUUGAACUCGCUGUGAAGAUGCAGUGUACCCGCGGCAAGACGGAAAGACCCCGUGAACCUUUACUAUAGCUUGACACUGAACAUUGAGCCUUGAUGUGUAGGAUAGGUGGGAGGCUUUGAAGUGUGGACGCCAGUCUGCAUGGAGCCGACCUUGAAAUACCACCCUUUAAUGUUUGAUGUUCUAACGUGGACCCGUGAUCCGGGUUGCGGACAGUGUCUGGUGGGUAGUUUGACUGGGGCGGUCUCCUCCUAAAGAGUAACGGAGGAGCACGAAGGUUGGCUAAUCCUGGUCGGACAUCAGGAGGUUAGUGCAAUGGCAUAAGCCAGCUUGACUGCGAGCGUGACGGCGCGAGCAGGUGCGAAAGCAGGUCAUAGUGAUCCGGUGGUUCUGAAUGGAAGGGCCAUCGCUCAACGGAUAAAAGGUACUCCGGGGAUAACAGGCUGAUACCGCCCAAGAGUUCAUAUCGACGGCGGUGUUUGGCACCUCGAUGUCGGCUCAUCACAUCCUGGGGCUGAAGUAGGUCCCAAGGGUAUGGCUGUUCGCCAUUUAAAGUGGUACGCGAGCUGGGUUUAGAACGUCGUGAGACAGUUCGGUCCCUAUCUGCCGUGGGCGCUGGAGAACUGAGGGGGGCUGCUCCUAGUACGAGAGGACCGGAGUGGACGCAUCACUGGUGUUCGGGUUGUCAUGCCAAUGGCACUGCCCGGUAGCUAAAUGCGGAAGAGAUAAGUGCUGAAAGCAUCUAAGCACGAAACUUGCCCCGAGAUGAGUUCUCCCUGACCCUUUAAGGGUCCUGAAGGAACGUUGAAGACGACGACGUUGAUAGGCCGGGUGUGUAAGCGCAGCGAUGCGUUGAGCUAACCGGUACUAAUGAACCGUGAGGCUUAACCUU
rnacentral:rRNA from 1 species